CCUACGUGAUGCAGCAGUGGGGAAUAUUGGACAAUGGGCGAAAGCCUGAUCCAGCCAUGCCGCGUGUGUGAAGAAGGCCUUCGGGUUGUAAAGCACUUUCAGUGGGGAAGAAAGCCUUGGGGCUAAUACCCUCGAGGAAGGACAUCACCCACAGAAGAAGCACCGGCUAACUCCGUGCCAGCAGCCGCGGUAAUACGGAGGGUGCGAGCGUUAAUCGGAAUUACUGGGCGUAAAGCGCGCGUAGGCGGUCUGAUAAGCCGGUUGUGAAAGCCCCGGGCUCAACCUGGGAACGGCAUCCGGAACUGUCAGGCUAGAGUGCAGGAGAGGAAGGUAGAAUUCCCGGUGUAGCGGUGAAAUGCGUAGAGAUCGGGAGGAAUACCAGUGGCGAAGGCGGCCUUCUGGACUGACACUGACGCUGAGGUGCGAAAGCGUGGGUAGCAAACAGGAUUAGAUACCCGAGUAGUC
rnacentral:rRNA from 1 species